UGUCACCCUGUGCGGCCACCUAUCCCUUCUAUCCUACUCUCGCCGCUCUCCUUACCUUCCGGCGUCGAUCUACUCUUUCCCCUUCGAGAGAGCAGAACGCAAGUGAAAUCUGGACUUCUUUGCUCCCCUCCCCUCCACACGUCUCCUCAGUCUCCAGAUGGACGCAACUCCAGCGGUGGCGGAAAGCUCAGGGCGGUGCGGGUCUGACGAGGGGGAAAUGGGCGUGGUGGUGGCCAGCGCAAGCGCAAAGCAGCAUCAUCGCUUGUGCCACUGCCGAGUUCAUCGCCUUCGCUGCUGCCGAGUUCGUGGCCUGCGCCGCUGAUUAGCUCGUCUGCACUAGAUUCAGUGUUUCGGUUCCAGAUCCUUAGUGUAGUACUCCCGUUGGUGCUUCUGAAAUCUUGUUUACUAUUGGAAUUUCUGUCCGUACAAGAUCCUAGUGCAGUACUCUUGUUGGUAGUUCGAAUCUAGUGUAAGUAGUACUCUUGUUCAGUUCUUCCCAAUUUCAUUCAUGCCACGAGUCUGAGCUUUUACAGUAUUCACUUCUGAAUUACUUUCUUUUCUCCACGAAGGUACGAUCAGUUUGUAAUAUGAAACUGCUACCUAGUGCUUGAGUGAAUGCUGCCAUUUUAAGUGUGAAAGCCUUCCCUUUUCCACGAGAUGUGACUCUGUAUGGUGAACUGUUCUGCUAUUUUAUUUGCUAAUUUUAUUGUAUUCUCAAAUGGCUACACAGGUCUUGUUUAGUUCACCCUGAAAACCAAAAAAUUUUCAAGAUUCUCCGUCACAUCGAAUCUUUCGGCACAUGCAUGAAACAUUU
rnacentral:lncRNA from 1 species